rnacentral:lncRNA from 1 species
GCGGGGUGUAUGUGGUGCGGCACUGCGCGUGCGCGCGAGGCCUCUUGCGUCAUUUAGCCGCGCCUAGGUUUGCCGGCGCCGGCCCUAGGUCCCGGCAGCGGUGGUGACGGCGGUGCCGGAGGUUGUCCUUGGCAGGUUUUCCUCGGCGCUUUUCCAUGGAGGAGGCGGUGCGAACGGCUUCAGCCCCGAAUGCUCGCAUCUCCCACUGGACGGCGACGAAGGCGGUGGCCGUGCGAGCGCAGGACUGGGCGGCCUGUGUGGGGGUGUGAGCCGCGGUGCCCCAGGCUGCGCCGGCGAGGGGAAGCCGCGCGGCCGGCCGGCCGACUAGGGCUCUCCCGGCUGUGAUAGACCUUCAGUUACAGAGAGAGGGAGCAGAGUGGGACCAGGUCUGAGAAUAGUGAAGCAACUCAUUCCUUUCAGGACAUUCCCUCUGAUGUCCUAUUUUCAAACUGUUUGAAGACUGCUUCAUUCUGCCUCUAGUACCAGCGGUUUCUCUGUUCUGUGAUCAAUGUGAUUCACAGGAACUCCUUAAGUAACAAACGAAAUGAGCCAGGGGCGUGGAAAAUAUGACUUCUAUAUUGGUCUGGGAUUGGCUAUGAGCUCCAGCAUUUUCAUUGGAGGAAGUUUCAUUUUGAAAAAAAAAGGCCUCCUUCGACUUGCCAGGAAAGGCUCUAUGAGAGCAGGUCAAGGUGGCCAUGCAUAUCUUAAGGAAUGGUUGUGGUGGGCUGGACUGCUGUCAAG